rnacentral:rRNA from 1 species
UACGUAGGGUGCGAGCGUUGUCCGGAAUUAUUGGGCGUAAAGGGCUCGUAGGCGGUUUGUCGCGUCGGGAGUGAAAUCCACUGGCUUAACUGGUGGCUUGCUUUCGAUACGGGCAGACUGGAGGUAUGCAGGGGAGAACGGAAUUCCAGGUGUAGCGGUGAAAUGCGUAGAUAUCUGGAGGAACACCGGUGGCGAAGGCGGCGUUCUGGACUGUUACUGACACUGAGGAACGAAAGCCAGGGGAGCAAACGGG